rnacentral:rRNA from 1 species
UAGGGAAUCUUCCGCAAUGGGCGAAAGCCUGACGGAGCAACGCCGCGUGAGUGAUGAAGGUCUUCGGAUCGUAAAACUCUGUUAUUAGGGAAGAACAAAGGUGUAAGGAACUAUGCACGUAUUGACGGGACCUAAGCAGAAAGCCACGGCGAACUACGUGCCAGCAGCCGCGGUAAUACGUAGGGGGCAAGCGUUAUCGGGAAUUAUGGGGCGUAAAGCGCGCGUAGGCGGUUUUUUAAGUGUGAUGUGAAAGCCGACGGCGCAACCGUGGAGGGUCAUUGGAAACUGGAAAAGUUGAGUGCAGAAGAGGAAAGUGGAAUUCCAUGUGUAGCGGUGAAAUGCGCAGAGAUAUGGAGGAACAACAGUGGCGAAGGCGACUUUCUGGUCUGUAACUGACGCUGAUGUGCGAAAGCGUGGGGAGCAAACAGG